rnacentral:rRNA from 1 species
GUGCCAGCAGCCGCGGUAAUACGUAGGUGGCAAGCGUUGUCCGGAUUUACUGGGCGUAAAGGGAGCGUAGGCGGAUUUUUAAGUGGGAUGUGAAAUACCCGGGCUCAACUUGGGUGCUGCAUUCCAAACUGGAAGUCUAGAGUGCAGGAGAGGAAAGUGGAAUUCCUAGUGUAGCGGUGAAAUGCGUAGAGAUUAGGAAGAACACCAGUGGCGAAGGCGACUUUCUGGACUGUAACUGACGCUGAGGCUCGAAAGCGUGGGGAGCAAACAGGAUUAGAUACCCUGGUAGUCCACGCCGUAAACGAUGGAUACUAGGUGUGGGAGGUAUCAACUCCUUCCGUGCCGCCGUAAACACAUUAAGUAUCCCGCCUGGGGAGUACGGUCGCAAGAUUAAA